GGGCCCGUAGCUCAGCCUGGUAGAGCGGCAGGCUCAUAACCUGUUAGUCAAGGGUUCAAAUCCCUUCGGGCCCACCA
rnacentral:tRNA from 1 species